rnacentral:snRNA from 1 species
AUACUUACCUGGCAGGGGAGGAUACCAUGAUCAUUUUAAGGUGGUUUUCCAGGGCGAGGCUUGUCCAUUGCACUCCGGAUGUGUUGACUUCGCGAUUUCCCCAAACGUGGGAAACUCGACUGCCAAUUUUGUGGUGGUGGGGUGACUGCGGUUCAGGCUUUCCCCUG